UGCCCAAUGAUGGUACCAAGACACGUUGACCUCUCUUAAAGAUAAGAUCAGAUCACGGGGUGAUGGAUAGAAAUAUUUUGACUGAACCAACAUAUACAAGCCGUGCUUCAGCUGUCCCCCCCCCCCGACUUUGCCGCUCAGGCACAGGAAGAGAACGCCGAGAUUUCAACAGCCAUUUUGUUCUCAAAGCUGAUGGAGCCUAUGCAGAGGAGCAGUAUUCCCAAC